rnacentral:rRNA from 1 species
UCUACGGGAGGCAGCAGUGAGGAAUAUUGCACAAUGGGGGGAACCCUGAUGCAGCGACGCCGCGUGGGUGAAGAAGCGCCUCGGCGCGUAAAGCCCUGUCAGCAGGGAAGAAAAUGACAGUACCUGACCAAGAAGCCCCGGCUAACUACGUGCCAGCAGCCGCGGUAAUACGUAGGGGGCAAGCGUUAUCCGGAUUUACUGGGUGUAAAGGGAGCGUAGACGGUUAUGUAAGUCUGGAGUGAAAGCCCGGGGCCCAACCCCGGGACUGCUUUGGAAACUGUGUAACUGGAGUACAGGAGGGGCAGGCGGAAUUCCUGGUGUAGCGGUGAAAUGCGUAGAUAUCAGGAGGAACACCGGCGGCGAAGGCGGCCUGCUGGACUGAAACUGACGUUGAGGCUCGAAAGCGUGGGGAGCAAACAGGAUUAGAUACCCCAGUAGUC